AUUGAACGCUGGCGGCAGGCUUAACACAUGCAAGUCGAGCGGGGAAGGUUGCUUUGGUAACUGACCUAGCGGCGGACGGGUGAGUAAUGCUUAGGAAUCUGCCUAUUAGUGGGGGACAACAUUCCGAAAGGAAUGCUAAUACCGCAUACGCCCUACGGGGGAAAGCAGGGGAUCUUCGGACCUUGCGCUAAUAGAUGAGCCUAAGUCGGAUUAGCUAGUUGGUGGGGUAAAGGCCUACCAAGGCGACGAUCUGUAGCGGGUCUGAGAGGAUGCUCCGCCACACUGGGACUGAGACACGGCCCAGACUCCUACGGGAGACAGCAGUGGGGAAUAUUGGACAAUGGGCGGAAGCCUGAUCCAGCCAUGCCGCGUGUGUGAAGAAGGCCUUUUGGUUGUAAAGCACUUUAAGCGAGGAGGAGGCUCCUUUAGUUAAUACCUAAAGAGAGUGGACGUUACUCGCAGAAUAAGCACCGGCUAACUCUGUGCCAGCAGCCACCGUAA
rnacentral:rRNA from 1 species